GUAGGGAAAAGUGGGAAGACCGCCCAAUUAAGCUUUAAUAACCGAUUUGCGAAAUUUCUUCUAACUAUCCCUUUCAAGGCAGUAACACGGGUUCAAAUCCCGUUGGGGACACCA
rnacentral:tRNA from 1 species